GGUCUUGUUCUUGGCUAUUCCCUUUGCUUGCUUUUGGUUCUUCUUGGCCUCCAUUAAAGGGUUGAAGCUGCUUGGGUUUGAUUUCUUGUUUUGGAGACGGUUGGGACAAACUUCCUCUUGGUGCGUCUUGGUCUAUCCUUGAGGAAUCACAACAUUUGAUAUCAAAGCUUUGGUGCUCUCCAAAACAGGUCUAUUUUGUCUCUUUUAGUGGGUUUCUU
rnacentral:misc_RNA from 1 species